rnacentral:rRNA from 1 species
GACGAACGCUGGCGGCGUGCUUAACACAUGCAAGUCGAACGGAAAGGCCCUGCUUUUGUGGGGUGCUCGAGUGGCGCACGGGUGAGUAUCACGUGAGUAACCUGCCCUUGACUUUGGGAUAACUUCAGGAAACUGGGGCUAUUACCGGAUAGGAGCUCCUGCUGCAUGGUGGGGGUUGGAAAGUUUCGGCGGUUGGGGAUGGACUCGCGGUUUAUCAGCUUGUUGGUGGGGUAGUGGCUUACAAAGGCUUGGACGGGUGGCCGGCCUGAGAGGGUGACCGGCCACAUAGGGACUGAGAAGCGGGCCAGAGUCCUACGGGAGGCAGCAGUGGGAGUUAGUGCACAAUGGGCGGAAGCCGUAUGCAGCAACGUCGCGUCCGGGAAGACGGUCUUCGGGUUAGAAAGCGGUUUCGCCUGUAACGAAGCGUAAGUGACGGUAAUGGGUAAGAAAGCACCGGCUAACUACGUG